rnacentral:rRNA from 1 species
GAUGAACGCUGGGGGCGUGCCUAAUACAUGCAAGUCGAGCGAACGGACGAGAAGCUUGCUUCUCUGAUGUUAGCGGCGGACGGGUGAGUAACACGUGGAUAACCCACCUAUAAGACUGGGAUAACUUCGGGAAACCGGAGCUAAUACCGGAUAAUAUUUUGAACCGCAUGGUUCAAAAGUGAAAGACGGUCUUGCUGUCACUUAUAGAUGGAUCCGCGCUGCAUUAGCUAGUUGGUAAGGUAACGGCUUACCAAGGCAACGAUGCAUAGCCGACCUGAGAGGGUGAUCGGCCACACUGGAACUGAGACACGGUCCAGACUCCUACGGGAGGCAGCAGUAGGGAAUCUUCCGCAAUGGGCGAAAGCCUGACGGAGCAACGCCGCGUGAGUGAUGAAGGUCUUCGGAUCGUAAAACUCUGUUAUUAGGGAAGAACAUAUGUGUAAGUAACUGUGCACAUCUUGACGGUACCUAAUCAGAAAGCCACGGCUAACUACGUG